rnacentral:rRNA from 1 species
UGGCGAACGGGUGAAGUAACACGCUGAGUAACCCUGCCCUCUUCUUUGGGAUAACGCCCGGAAACGGGUGCUAAUACUGGAUAUUCACUGGUCUUCGCAUGGGGGUUGGUGGAAAGGGUUUUUUCUGGUGGGGGAUGGGCUCGCGGCCUAUCAGCUUGUUGGUGGGGUGAUGGCCUACCAAGGCUUUGACGGGUAGCCGGCCUGAGAGGGUGACCGGUCACAUUGGGACUGAGAUACGGCCCAGACUCCUACGGGAGGCAGCAGUGGGGAAUAUUGCACAAUGGGCGAAAGCCUGAUGCAGCGACGCCGCGUGAGGGAUGGAGGCCUUCGGGUUGUAAACCUCUUUCGCUCAUGGUCAAGCCGCAACUGUGGGUUGUGGUGAGGGUAGUGGGUAAAGAAGCGCCGGCUAACUACGUGCCAGCAGCCGCGGUAAUACGUAGGGCGCGAGCGUUGUCCGGAAUUAUUGGGCGUAAAGGGCUUGUAGGCGGUUGGUCGCGUCUGCCGUGAAAUCCUCU